rnacentral:piRNA from 1 species
UCAGCAAUCCCGUCACAAAUAUCAAGUGU